GAUGAACGCUAGCGGCAGGCCUAACACAUGCAAGUCGAGGGGUAUAGUUCUUCGGAACUAGAGACCGGCGCACGGGUGCGUAACGCGUAUGCAAUCUGCCUUUCACAGAGGGAUAGCCCAGAGAAAUUUGGAUUAAUACCUCAUAGUAUUAUAGACUGGCAUCGGUUUAUAAUUAAAGUCACAACGGUGAAAGAUGAGCAUGCGUCCCAUUAGCUAGUUGGUAAGGUAACGGCUUACCAAGGCGACGAUGGGUAGGGGUCCUGAGAGGGAGAUCCCCCACACUGGUACUGAGACACGGACCAGACUCCUACGGGAGGCAGCAGUGAGGAAUAUUGGUCAAUGGACGCAAGUCUGAACCAGCCAUGCUGCGUGCAGGAUGACGGUCCUAUGGAUUGUAAACUGCUUUUGUACGAGAAGAAACACUCCAACGUGUUGGAGCUUGACGGUAUCGUAAGAAUAAGGAUCGGCUAACUCCGUGCCAGCCGCCGCCGUAAUAC
rnacentral:rRNA from 1 species